rnacentral:rRNA from 1 species
GACGAACGCUGGCGGCGUGCUUAACACAUGCAAGUCGAACGGAAAGGCCCUGCUUUUGUGGGGUGCUCGAGUGGCGAACGGGUGAGUAACACGUGAGUAACCUGCCCUUGACUUUGGGAUAACUUCAGGAAACUGGGGCUAAUACCGGAUAGGAGCUCCUGCUGCAUGGUGGGGGUUGGAAAGUUUCGGCGGUUGGGGAUGGACUCGCGGCUUAUCAGCUUGUUGGUGGGGUAGUGGCUUACCAAGGCUUUGACGGGUAGCCGGCCUGAGAGGGUGACCGGGCACAAUGGGAAUGAGAUACGGGCCAGACUCCUACCGGAGGCAGGAGGGGGGAAUAUUGCACCAUGGGGGGAAGCCCUAAGCCGCAACCCCGGGGGCGGGAUGACGGCCUUUGGGGUGUAAACCGCCUUCGCCUGUUACGAAGCGUGAGUGACGGUAAUGGGUAAAGAAGCACCGGCUAACUACGUG